AGGAUGAACGUUGGCGGCGUGCCUAACACAUGCAAGUCGAACGGUGGUAGCAAUACUACAGUGGCGCACGGGUGAGUAACACGUAGCUUACCUCCCUCUCAGCGCGGGAUAACGGCUCGAAAGAGCUGCUAAUACCGCAUAAGCUCACGGGUUCCAGAGACUUGUGAGAAAAGGUGCAAAUCACUGAGAGACGGGGCUGCGGCCCAUCAGCUAGUGGCGAGGUAAAGGCUCACCAAGGCGACGACGGGUAGGGACCUGAGAGGGUCGACCCCCCACACUGGACUGAGACACGGCCCAGACUCCGUACGGGAGGCAGCAGUGAGGAAUAUGCACAAUGGGCGCGAAGCCUGAUGCAGCGACGCCGCGUGGGUGAUGGAAGUCUGAUACGUAAACGUCC
rnacentral:rRNA from 1 species